rnacentral:lncRNA from 1 species
UGCUCUUCUUCCAUGUGAGGACAUGAUAUUUCUCCUCUCCAGAGGAUGCACCACCUUGACACUGGACUUCUCAGCCUCUGGAACGUUUUAAAAUGCUUAUUUACAGAACAAGACUUAGAAUGACAGCAUGAGGAACUGCAUGAACGCUCUUCCAAUCAAAUCAACUAUCACCAAUGAAAACAUGUUUUUUAACUAUUUCGAAUCUCUGGAAAUUGUUCUCAGAUCAACACCAAGUGAAAAUACACAUUUAUUCAAUAAAAUCUACCAAAUCUUAAGUAGAAACAGCAGAUUCCUGUGGUUCCUGAGACUUGCCCACCUCUUGCCUCAUUCAUCUUCCAACUUAGCAUAAUGGAAAUUCCACCACAAGUCGGCGUGGCCAAGGAGAUGGGGCUCCCUCUUCUGCAGGCUCCAAGUUGAGGGCUGCGGUCUCCUCCUUGGACAGGGAGUCUGACAGCAUCACUCAUCCCCCGCCAGCUCUGUGCUGUAGAGGCUAAAUUUCAAGCAAGCAUGACUGAGAGGGUUGGGGCUUCCCUCUUACUCCUAGACCAGAGUGUGAAGGUUCUGCCAAGAGCAUGACAGGCCAAGAAUAUUAGGGCCCUGAUCAUCCUUGGCACAUUUCAGUCACAGAGCAAACAUUUCUUGCUGGUAGAGUUAAUCCAAGAGGACCAGAGGCUGUCACCACAGUCCAGCACACAACUCAAAGCAGUGGCCACUCUGAGAAAAGUGGCUCAAUCCCUGAGCAGGGGCUCCGAAACUUAGCCCAAGUGGAGAGGCAGGUCACAGAACAGAGUUCCAAAGCUUUCCACAAAGAGACUAACAUUAUUUAGAAAAGAAUAUGGAGAAAUUCAUGCCUAAGUGUUCUCUUAAAACCAAAGGUGAUUUUGUUGUCAAGCAAUGAAGAGGAGGCUGUUCUCUCCAGGAGAGCAAUGGGCUAAACUAUAAGCUCGUUAAUUUACUAGGGAGAACCAGAGAAUGACACAGCUUUCCUUACUGUCCUUUGAGAACAAACCUCAAAGACUGGUCUCAAAAACUAUCCCUAAAAAGAGACAAUAUUUAAUUGACUCAGGCUAUAGAGAAAAUUAUGUUCCAGGGAAUUGUCAAAAAAAAAAAGAGUAAUCACUUGAUAAUUAGUAAACCUGGGCUCAAAACCAGUAGAGGCAGACAGCUUGACAGAGGGACAAAGGAAAGCGCUAUUCAGAAAGAGCCCACAUCCAUAGACUGCCAUCCUAGGGCAGCUGCGUUCAUGUCCACGGUUGUGUGUGCUCUUGGAGAAGUGACAUCAGAUUCUCCACAUAAUGAGAUCAGUAGACAUCACUAAAAUAAUUCCACCAAGUUGCUAAACAAUACACAAGCAGAAGCCAUCAAGAGCAAGUCCUAGAAGAUGUGGUAUGAUAAAUAUCCAAAGUUGCUACAGUGAAUUACCUAAAAUUCCCAGUUUUCAACAAAAAAUAUGAAAUAUUUUUUCUCAUACAGGAA